GACAUAGGUCGCAAACGUUAUCCGGAAUUAUUGGGCGUAAAGGGUGCGUAGGUGGCUUGUUAAGUCAGGGGUGAAAGUUUUCGGCCCAACCGGAAAAUGGCCUUUGAUACUGGCGAGCUCGAGUGCGUGAGGGGUAACCGGAACGAGCAGUGUAGCGGUGAAAUGCGUAGAUAUUGCUCGGAAGGCCAACGGCGAAGGCAGGUUACUGGUACGCAACUGACACUGAGGCACGAAAGCGUGGGGAGCAAACAGG
rnacentral:rRNA from 1 species